rnacentral:rRNA from 1 species
AUUGAACGCUGGCGGCAUGCUUUACACAUGCAAGUCGAACGGUAACAGGCCUUCGGGUGCUGACGAGUGGCGAACGGGUGAGUAAUGCAUCGGAACGUGCCCAGAGGUGGGGGAUAACGCAGCGAAAGCUGUGCUAAUACCGCAUGUGAUCUGAGGAUGAAAGCGGGGGACCAAGCAGCAAUGUUUGGCCUCGCGCCUCUGGAGCGGCCGAUGUCAGAUUAGGUAGUUGGUGGGGUAAAGGCCUACCAAGCCGACGAUCUGUAGCUGGUCUGAGAGGACGACCAGCCACACUGGGACUGAGACACGGCCCAGACUCCUACGGGAGGCAGCAGUGGGGAAUUUUGGACAAUGGGCGGAAGCCUGAUCCAGCAAUGCCGCGUGCGGGAAGAAGGCCUUCGGGUUGUAAACCGCUUUUGUACGGAACGAAAGGGCUCUGGCUAAUACCAGGGGCUGAUGACGGUACCGUAAGAAUAAGCACCGGCUAACUACGUG